rnacentral:rRNA from 1 species
UACAGAGGUCUCAAGCGUUGUUCGGAUUCAUUGGGCGUAAAGGGUGCGUAGGCGGCGCGGUAAGUCGGGUGUGAAAUCUCGGAGCUUAACUCCGAAACUGCAUUCGAUACUGCCGUGCUUGAGGACUGGAGAGGAGACUGGAAUUUACGGUGUAGCGGUGAAAUGCGUAGAUAUCGAUAAGGAAGACCAGUGGCGAAGGCGGGUCUCUGGACAGUUCCUGACGCUGAGACGCGAAAGCCAGGGGAGCAAACGGG